AGUGAACGCUGGCGGUAGGCCUAACACAUGCAAGUCGAACGGCAGCACAGUAAGAGCUUGCUCUUACGGGUGGCGAGUGGCGGACGGGUGAGGAAUACAUCGGAAUCUACUUUUUCGUGGGGGAUAACGUAGGGAAACUUACGCUAAUACCGCAUACGACCUACGGGUGAAAGCAGGGGAUCUUCGGACCUUGCGCGAUUGAAUGAGCCGAUGUCGGAUUAGCUAGUUGGCGGGGUAAAGGCCCACCAAGGCGACGAUCCGUAGCUGGUCUGAGAGGAUGAUCGGCCAAACGGAAAUGGAAAAAGGGUCCAAACACUAAGGGGGGGCAGCGGGGGGGAAAAUUGAACAAGGGCGGCAACCUGAACCAGGCCAAACGGGUGGGGGAAAGAAGGCCUUGGGGUUGUAAGGCCCUUUGGCGGGAAAGAAAAGGCGGCAGGUAAAAACCCGGUGGUCCGGAGGUAACCAAAGAAUAAGCACCGGCUAACUUCGUG
rnacentral:rRNA from 1 species